rnacentral:rRNA from 1 species
GACGAACGCUGGCGGCGUGCCUAAUACAUGCAAGUAGAACGCUGAAGGAGGAGCUUGCUCUUCUGGAUGAGUUGCGCACGGGUGAGUAACGCGUAGGUAACCUGCCUGGUAGCGGGGGAUAACUAUUGGAAACGAUAGCUAAUACCGCAUAACAGUAGAUGUUGCAUGACAUUUACUUAAAAGGUGCAAUUGCAUCACUACCAGAUGGACCUGCGUUGUAUUAGCUAGUUGGUGGGGUAACGGCUCACCAAGGCGACGAUACAUAGCCGACCUGAGAGGGUGAUCGGCCACACUGGGACUGAGACACGGCCCAGACUCCUACGGGAGGCAGCAGUAGGGAAUCUUCGGCAAUUGACGGAAGUCUGACCGAGCAACGCCGCGUGAGUGAAGAAGGUUUUCGGAUCGUAAAGCUCUGUUGUAAGAGAAGAACGAGUGUGAGAGUGGAAAGUUCACACUGUGACGGUAUCUUACCAGAAAGGGACGGCUAACUACGUG